rnacentral:rRNA from 1 species
UACCGAGGUCUCAAGCGUUGUUCGGAUUCAUUGGGCGUAAAGGGUGCGUAGGCGGCGCGGUAAGUCGGGUGUGAAAUUUCGAGGCUUAACUUCGAAACUGCAUUCGAUACUGCCGUGCUUGAGGACUGGAGAGGAGACUGGAAUUUACGGUGUAGCGGUGAAAUGCGUAGAUAUCGUAAGGAAGACCAGUGGCGAAGGCGGGUCUCUGGACAGUUCCUGACGCUGAGGCACGAAGGCCAGGGGAGCAAACGGG